GUCUAGCAUGCAGCUUGGUCUGGUCUUGCUCUCUCUGGGACAACGCUAGCCCUUCCUCCCUCCUGGAGUCCCUGUGUCGUGCCUCUCCCGGUAGCGCCUUACUGCUGGGUAUGAAGAGGUUGUCUGUGCUGCUGGUGGACUGCAGGAAAACAACGGGGCUGAGUGGAACUGUGAGAGGAGGAGAAGAGAAGAAAGGAUCAGAUUUGAAACAUCAAAGAGAAAGACCAGACUCAGAGGAACCAGAGCCAGGGACGUCCAAACCAGCAAGACGACACCAGUGCUCCCAGUGUGAAAAGAGUUUUAAACAGAAAGCACAACU